rnacentral:rRNA from 1 species
CCUACGGGAGGCAGCAGUGAGGAAUAUUGGUCAAUGGGCGCGAGCCUGAACCAGCCAAGUAGCGUGAAGGAUGACUGCCCUACGGGUUGUAAACUUCUUUUAUAAAGGAAUAAAGUGAGGCGCGAGUGCCUUUUUGUAUGUACUUUAUGAAUAAGGAUCGGCUAACUCCGUGCCAGCAGCCGCGGUAAUACGGAGGAUCCGAGCGUUAUUCGGAUUGAUUGGGUUUAAGGGGAGCGCAGAUGGGUUGUUAAGUCAGUUGUGAAGGUUUGCGGCUCAACCGUAAAAUUGCAAUUGAUACUGGCAGUCUUGAGUCUAGUUGAGGGAGGCGGAAUUCGUGGUGUAGCGGUGAAAUGCUUAGAUAUCACGAAGAACUCCGAUUGCGAAGGCAGCUUACUAAACUGCCACUGACAUUGAUGUUCGAAAGUGUGGGUAUCAAACAGGAUUAGAUACCCUAGUAGUC